GACGAACGCUGGCGGCGUGCUUAACACAUGCAAGUCGAACGGAAAGGCCCUUCGGGGUACUCGAGUGGCGAACGGGCGAGUAACACGUGGGUGAUCUGCUCUGCACUCUGGGAUAAGCCUGGGAAACUGGGUCUACUACCGAAUAUGAUCAUCGGCUUCAUGGUCGGUGGUGGAAAGCUUUUGCGGUGUGGGAUGGGCCCGCGGCCUAUCAGCUUGUUGGUGGGGUAAUGGCCUACCAAGGCGACGACGGGUAGCCGGCCUGUGAGGGUGACCGGCGACACUGGGACUGAGGUACGGCCCAGACUCCUACGGGAGGCAGCAGUGGGGAAUAUUGAACAAUGGGCGCAAGCCUGAUGCAGCGACGCCGCGUGAGGGAUGACGGCCUUCGGGGUGUAAACCUCAUUCAGCACAGACGAAGCGCAAGUGACGGUAUGUGCAGAAGAAGGACCGGCCAACUACGUG
rnacentral:rRNA from 1 species